AAAGGAAUUGACGGGGACCCGCACAAGCGGUGGAGCAUGUGGUUUAAUUCGAGGCGACGCGAAGAACCUUACCAAGGCUUGACAUGGGGACGGAGGCCGCGGAGACGCGGCGGCCCUUCGGGGCGUCCCGCACAGGUGGUGCAUGGUUGUCGUCAGCUCGUGUCGUGAGAUGUUGGGUUAAGUCCCGCAACGAGCGCAACCCCUGCGCCCAGUUGCCAGCGCGUGAAGGCGGGCUACACUGGGGGGACUGCCGUGGAAACACGGGGGAAGGUGGGGACGACGUCAAAUCAUCAUGCCCCUUAUGCCUUGGGCUACACACGUGCUACAAUGGGGCGCACAGCGUGGUGCGAAGCGGCGACGCGGAGCGAAGCACGAAAACGCCCCCCAGUUCGGAUUGCAGGCUGCAACCCGCCUGCAUGAAGUUGGAAUCGCUAGUAAUCGCGGAUCAGCACGCCGCGGUGAAUACGUUCCCGGGUCUUGUACACACCGCCCGU
rnacentral:rRNA from 1 species